rnacentral:misc_RNA from 1 species
ACUCGUGCAAUGCACCUGAUAGCAAUGGCAUCUGGAAGACCUUCAAUCAGUUCAGACAUACUAAUCACUGUUUCACCUUUUCCCAAAUGAUUCUUCACUGAUAAAUUUGUUGCUAUGCUGAUGGAAGUAUUUGCAAAAGAUAUCUUGAAAGCAAUAGUAUUAUCGGGGCUGUGUUGAUUUAUAGAGGUAAACAGAAGAAGAG